AGACAUUUCACGGGCUCGCUUGCGAUUGCUGUGGAGACACUGGGGUUUUGGGUGACUCUUGGAAUCGUAUUCAGAGAACCACUCCUGAGAACAGGUCACACAUCAGCACGUGGCAUUUCCUUCUCAGCGGAUGCCACGGCAGCGGCACUCCGAAACACAGGGGCAUCUCCUCCCUCCAGUCGUUUGGUGUUUGCUUUGAACACAGAGCAGUGUUUCAUACAGCGAGGCUCUUCACUUAUUAAUGCCUGAAUGACCCCAGUGUGGCACAGCUGCACAAAUGGGUAACCGUUGGCUAAGACAGGGCCUACAUCUAAAAGUCCUUAUUUAAAAAAGAGAAAAAAAAACUAACACAUUAUUCCAAUUCAUGGAGCCUCACAAAUUUAUAGCUGAAAAGUUGUAUUAAAAUGGUCUCAUUA
ensembl:lncRNA